UACGUAGGGGGCAAGCGUUGUCCGGAAUCAUUGGGCGUAAAGAGCUCGUAGGCGGUUCGGUAAGUCGGGUGUGAAACCUCCAGGCUCAACCUGGAGUCGCCACUCGAUACUGCUGUGACUAGAGUCCGGUAGGGGAGCGUGGAAUUCCUGGUGUAGCGGUGAAAUGCGCAGAUAUCAGGAGGAACACCAGCGGCGAAGGCGGCGCUCUGAGCCGGAACUGACGCUGAGGAGCGAAAGCGUGGGUAGCAAACAGG
rnacentral:rRNA from 1 species